rnacentral:rRNA from 1 species
GACGGGGGAUGCAAGUGUUAUCCGGAAUCACUGGGCGUAAAGCGUCUGCAGGUGGUUUCCUAAGUCCACUGUUAAACCUUGAGGCUCAACCUCAAAUCUGCAUUGGAAACUAGGAGACUUGAGUAUAGUAGGGGUAGAGGGAAUUUCCAGUGGAGCGGUGAAAUGCGUAGAUAUUGGAAAGAACACCGAUGGCGAAGGCACUCUACUGGGCUAUUACUGACACUCAGGGACGAAAGCUAGGGGAGCGAAUGGG